rfam:Allofrancisella guangzhouensis strain 08HL01032 chromosome, complete genome.
AGCUGUCUGGGUUAUUUGUAAUUUGGUUACAAUCUUGAGCCGAUAGUUUUACUAAAGGGAGUUUUGGUGUUUUACCUAGAGAGCAAGCUUUGGUAUCUUUUAGAUAUUAGCAAAGAAGCCCAACGGUGGAACUAUGACACCCACUUGAUACCACAGGGAUCAAGAACAUUGAACCAAAACGGUAACCUGGAUAGCUA